CGGGGUGUAGCGCAGCCUGGUAGCGCAUCUGCUUUGGGAGCAGAGGGUCGGAGGUUCGAAUCCUCUCACCCCGACCA
rnacentral:tRNA from 2 species